rnacentral:rRNA from 1 species
AAGUCGUACGGAGAGUGGGGCAACUCACUCUCAGUGGCAAACGGGUGAGUAACGCGUGAAUAACCUGCCUUUGAGAAGGGGAUAACUGUCCGAAAGGAUAGCUAAUACCCUAUAUUGCCUUUUGUCACUAAGGCAAAAGGUGAAAGCGAGGCUGUCAAAGGCUUCGGCUCAAAGAGGGGUUCGCGUCCUAUCAGGUAGUUGGUGGGGUAAUGGCCUACCAAGCCAAUGACGGGUAGCUGGUCUUAGAGGAUGAUCAGCUACAGUGGGACUGAGACACGGCCCGCACCCCUACGGGGGGCAGCAGUGGGGAAUCGUGGGCAAUGGGCGCAAGCCUGACCCCGCAAUGCCGCGUGAGGGAAGAAGCCCUUCGGGGUGUAAACCUCUGUCAGAUGGGAAGAU